AUUGAACGCUGGCGGCAGGCUUAACACAUGCAAGUCGAGCGGGGGAAGGUAGCUUGCUACUGGACCUAGCGGCGGACGGGUGAGUAAUGCUUAGGAAUCUGCCUAUUAGUGGGGGACAACAUCUCGAAAGGAAUGCUAAUACCGCAUACGUCCUACGGGAGAAAGCAGGGGAUCUUCGGACCUUGCGCUAAUAGAUGAGCCUAAGUCGGAUUAGCGAGUUGGUGGGGUAAAGGCCUACCAAGGCGACGAUCUGUAGCGGGUCUGAGAGGAUGAUCGGCCACACUGGGACUGAGACACGGCCCAGACUCCUACGGGAGGCAGCAGUGGGGAAUAUUGGACAAUGGGGUGAACCCUGAUCCAGCCAUGCCGCGUGUGUGAAGAAGGCCUUAUGGUUGUAAAGCACUUUAAGCGAGGAGGAGGCUACUCUAGUUAAUACCUAGGGAUAGUGGACGUUACUCGCAGAAUAAGCACCGGCUAACUCUGUGCCAGCAGCCGCAGUAA
rnacentral:rRNA from 1 species